CCCAGCUCCCCUGUGCCCGCCGGCCCUUCCGCCUCACUCGGCAGCGCCGCCACGGAGGCCACGGGCGCGGGCCAUGGAGCGCUCGGCGGGCAAGGAGUUGGCCCUGGCUCCGCUGCAGGACUGGGGCGAGGAGAGCGAGGACGGCGUGGUGUUCAGCGUGACUCUGCGGCGGCAGCAGCACAGCCUGCGCUCAGGCCCGGGGGAGGGGCCUGCGCGCAGCCAGGUGAGCGGCAGGGGGAGGGGGCGCGGGUGUCCAGAUGCCCAGGUGAGGCGAGGCCCGAGAGCCCGGCUUGGGCCGCUGGGUGCGGUGGGGCUGGGAGCGAAGGCGGAGUUCGCAGGCCACCAGAGCCUGCCCCCCGCGGCCCACAGCUUCCUCCACUACCGCACCAGCAAGGUGCGGGCGCUCAGGGCUGCGCGGCUGGAGCGACUGGUCGGCGAGCUGGUGUACGGAGACCGCGAGCAGGAUCCCGGCUUCGUGCCUGCUUUCCUGGCCACCCACCAGGCCUUCGCGCCCACCGCCCGUGUCCUGCGUUUCCUACUGCCGCCGCCGCCGCCGCCGCUGCCUCCAGGGAUACCGAGCAAGACCACAGGUGGCCCAGAGCUGAGCUUGAACGAGAAUCUGAGCGCUGUGGUGUCCGUGCUGGGCUCCUGGCUCCGCGAUCACCCCCAGGAUUUCCGAGACCCCCCUGCCUACUCCGACCUGGGCAGUGUCCGAGUCUUUCUGGGCUGGGCUGCUCCAGAGGGUGCGGAGGCCCAGGAAGCAGAGAAGCUCUUGCAAGAGUUCUUGGAGGAGGCUGAUAGAGAGCAAGAAGAGGAGCAGCCCGUGCUGUGGGCAGGACCUCCCAGGGCGGCCCAGCCCCCCAGACCGGACUCCCCGGAAGAGGAGGAAGGUCCUGAGCUCCUGGACUUCAGCGUGGAAGAGGUGGCGGAGCAGCUGACCCUCUUGGACGCGAAGCUCUUCUUGCGCGUGCGGACCUGCGAGUGCCUGGGCUCCGUGUGGUCACAGCGAGACCGGCAGGGGGCCUCAGGCGUCGCCCCCACUGUGCGCGCCACGGUGGCCCAGUUCAACGCGGUGACCGGCUGCGUGCUGGGCUCGGUGCUCGGGGCACCUGGGCUGGCAGCCCCGCAGAGGGCGCAGCGCAUCGAGAAGUGGAUUCGGAUCGCGCAGUGCUGCCGGGAGCUGCGGAACUUCUCUUCCCUGCGGGCCAUCCUGUCCGCGCUACAGUCCAACCCCAUCUACAGGCUUAAGCGCAGCUGGGGGGCCGUGAACCGGGAACCACUAUCCACUUUCAGGAAACUUUCACAGAUUUUCUCCGACGAGAACAACCACCUCAAUAGCAGAGAGAUUCUUUCCCAGAAACUGCCCUCAGGUCUCGUCCCCUACCUUGGCACCUUCCUCACCGACCUGGUUAUGCUGGACACAGCGCUGCCGGAUGUGUUGAAGGGGGAUCUCAUCAAUUUUGAGAAGCGGAGGAAGGUGAGUGGGCACCAGAGUGGGCAUGGGAGUCCCCGAGGGUGGGGAUGGGACGGGGAGGGGUCUCAGAGGCCCCCCCCUCAGGAGUGGGAGAUCCUGGCCCGAAUCCAGCAGCUUCAGCGGCGUUGUCGGAGCUACAGCCUGUGCCCCCACCCACCCAUCCUGGCCGCCCUGCAAGCCCAGCGCCAGCUCAGCGAGGAACAGAGCUACCGAGUCUCCCGUGUCAUCGAACCCCCGGCCGCCUCCUGUCCCAGCUCCCCCAGCAUCCGGCGCCGCAUCAGUCUCACCAAGCGGCUCAGUGCGAAGCUGUCCCGGGAGAAGAGCGCGCCCCCUGGUGGGAGUCCCGGGGAGCCCUCGUCGCCUACCUCCAGUCUGUCCCCAGGGUCGCCCCCCUCCAGUCCCAGAGCCAAGGACCCUCCUGCCGCUGGAAGUCCCCCUGCCUCUCCAGGGCUCCAGGGCCCCUGCACCAAGCACCUGUGGCCUGCACAGCUGCCCCUGAGCCUGGACCUGCCCGGCUCCCAGGCCCCAGCAUUGCCCCCAAGCAGCCCACGAGUCCCCCUCGGGCAGCAGAGCUCAGAGGCCCGAGUCAUCCGCGUGAGCAUCGACAAUGAUCAUGGGAACCUGUACCGGAGCAUCUUGCUCUCCAGCCAGGACAAAGCUCCGGGUGUGAUCCAGCGCGCCUUGGAGAAGCACCAUGUGCCCCAGCCUCAGGGUUGUGCCUACCAGCUCUUCCAGGUCCUCCCUGGGGACAGGGAGCUCCUGAUUCCAGACAACGCCAACGUCUUCUAUGCAAUGAGUCCGGCCGCCCCUGGAGACUUCGUGCUACGGCGGAAGGACAGGGCUCGGUCUGUGGCCUUUGUCUCCCCAACCUGAGGGAGCCCUGUCCUGCCUCGAGCCCAGAGCCCCGUGGCUUCUGUCACCUUGGUGGGGAGCCCCCCAGGGGAGGCCACUGUACGCUGUGCUGUGUGACCCCCGCCCCAGUUUAGCCCAUUGGACGCCCUCCUUCUGAUGUCCUGGGCGCAGGAUCUCCCUUUCAAAGACAUCAGCCCACACAGUGUGGCUACCAUGACAACAAAAAUGAAAAGCAAACUAAGAGCUCUUAGAAAGGGAUUAAAGCCAGGGAUUUAGCUCGGUGGUGCCUUGCUUCCCUGGCAAGUGCAAGGUCCUGAGUUCGAUCCCCGAUACAGAAAGGGAUUGAAGCCUGGUACCGUGGUGCACGCUUGCGAUCUCAGCACUCAGGAGGUUGAGACAGGAGGAUCCCAGAGUUCAAGGCCUACAAAGCAAGACCCUGUCUCAAAAAACAAAAAAACAACAGAAAAGGACUGAAUGAAUCAUGAUGGAUACCAGAAGACCUCAUCAUACACAGAGGGGCCAGGGUCCUCCCCGCUCAAGUUUCUCAGGGUGAUUUUUUUUGUCUGCCAUGCAUAUAGGAGGAAAUUGAAAAUUGGAUCAAAGACAAAUAACUCCAGCACUUAGGAAUCAGUAAGGUCAGAAAGGAGAAAAAGGGUUGAUCCAACAACCGCCCCUGGGGUAGGAAGAACAAACAGCUCAAGGCGCUGUACAUAUGUGCACCAAGUCCCCUCGAUGAGAGUAUUUAUUAUGCAUCACAAACAUAUACCGAUUUUAAAAAGGGAAAAGGUGGAGAAAGUGGGACCCGGUGACCAGGGUGACAGCUACAAAGACAGCGACACCAGCUUGGCCAUGUAUGGCUCCUGUCUGAACUGGACACUGACAGGGGGCUCCAUAGCUCCCUGUAUUUAUCAGGGUUCUUUGUUUCCAGCGGUCAAAAUCCCAUUCCAACAGGUGCCUGCCCAAAAGGAAAGGGAGGCUCCCAUAGUUGAAAAAUACAAUGGAUCCAGCAUCAGGUGCCGUUGGAUCUAUGGACCCAACAGAUCUUAUUGGGGGUUUUGUUGCUAUCUCUUGGCUCUGAUUUGCUCUGAGACUGAGGCUGUCCAUUGUCCUCCUCAAAUCCAGUCACCUUCUAUGUACCAAGGAUCAAACUCGGAUCCUUACACUUGCGGGGCAGGUGACAGAACCAUUGAGUUAAAUUCCUGGCCCAAAGCCCCACUUCCUAACUGCUGUGCAGCAAGACUAAGAGUUGGUCAGCAAGAUAUGGAAGGAAGAAAGAGAUGCCAGGGCCUGCCCUCAGAGGGACAAGCUGCGUGUCCUCCACUUCAU